rnacentral:rRNA from 1 species
CCUACGGGAGGCAGCAGUGGGGAAUAUUGCACAAUGGGGGGAACCCUGAUGCAGCGACGCCGCGUGAGUGAAGAAGUAUUUCGGUAUGUAAAGCUCUAUUAGCAGGGAAGAAAAUGACGGUACCUGACUAAGAAGCACCGGCUAACUACGUGCCAGCAGCCGCGGUAAUACGUAGGGGGCAAGCGUUAUCCGGAUUUACUGGGCGUAAAGGGAGCGUAGGCGGUUAUGCAAGUCAGAAGUGAAAGCCUAAGGCUCAACCAUGGGACUGCAUUUGAAACUGUAAAACUUGAGUGUAGGAGAGGUAGGCGGAAUUCCUAGUGUAGCGGUGAAAUGCGUAGAUAUUAGGAGGAACACCAGUUGCGAAGGCGGCUUACUGGACUGUAACUGACGUUGAGGCUCGAAGGCGUGGGGAGCAAACAGGAUUAGAUACCCGAGUAGUC